GCCAGGUUCUAAACACAAAUCAACCCAGUUCAUUUUCAGGGAGAACCAGGAUCAUCAAAGAUGUUUUGCUGCAUGCCGAGGUCUCCCGACCACAAGAAAAGGCGCAGGAACCUCUUUCAGACACUGGUGCAAGGCAUCAGGAGACUACUCAGACUUGGCAGGCCAGGAGCCAGCGUUGCCCCAGCGGUACCCUCGAACCUGGAAGAUGAAGAGUCCGAGGAAGAGGAUUUCCCCUACUCGCCUCCCAGCCCAUUGAGCACGAUUCGUUGCAGGCCUAAAACCUGCGCUAACACCGGGCACAAGUUUCAGUGUAUGGAUCUUGUACACAAGUGCAGGGCAAAAGACCUGAAGGCAAUGGAGGAAUUUCCUGAGGUUGAGUGGCCCAUGGUUGUGCCGAGACUCCUCUAGGAGGUGGAGCUCCUUCUCCACCACUAAAGCUGGGCACCACUGCAUCUCACUGGACAGGACAAGAGUCCUGCCAAGUAUCCAAUUCAUCACAAGCAGACUUCACAUGCCGAGACGGGACACCAGGAUCAUCUCUCUCCUAUGAUCAUCCACAAAAUACCCAGCAUUUUGCAGGUCGCCAAGGAGACUCUGAGAUCACUGUAUCCCUGCACGGUGAGAUUGCCACUAGCCAGCAUCCUGCCAGAUGUCCUGUGGCCAUUGAGCUUAUACCACCACUGCUGGGAGAGUCAGGCCCAGUCCCAAAUCUUCCAGGACAAGUGGAUAGUGUUGAGCUUAGCCCACACCUGAAGGGUGAGCCAAGCUCCAGCCGAACCCCAGAAGAGGAUGAUGGCGGAGAUGGGAUGCUCACUUAGCCCCCCGGUGGGAGAAGGUCCAAGGCUGGAAUGUCCCUAGGGUUCGCCAGUGCUGGGUGGUCACAGCAUCUGAGCUGGAGGAGGAAAUA